UGGGGAAUCAUGGUCAAUGGGCGAAAGCCUGAACCUGCGACGCCGCGUGAGUGAUGAAGGUCGUAAGAUCGUAAAACUCUUUUCAGGGAUCUUAAAGCCUGUCUGUCAACAACAGGCAGGUCUGACUCUCCCUGGAAGAAGCCCCAGCCAACUACGUGCCUGCAGCUGCGGUAAUACGUAGGGGGCGAGCGUUAUUCGGAAUUACUGGGUGUAAAGGGUAUGUAGGCGGCCCUUCAAGUCGCGUGUCAAAGUCCAGUGCUCAACGCUGGGUGUGCGCGCGAUACUGACGGGCUUGAGGGCUGGAGAGGUGAGCGGAAUUCCCGGUGUAGUGGUUAAAUACGUAGAGAUCGGGAGGAACACCAGCGGCGCAGGCGGCUCACUAGACAGUUUCUGACGCUAAGAUACGAAAGCGUGGGGAUGAAACA
rnacentral:rRNA from 1 species